UGGACGCUGAAGGGUAGUGUGCAUCGGGCCGCGUUCUUGCGAGAACUGCGAAUCUGAAAUAGUGACAGGGCUUCUGUUCAGAUGCAAAUCUCAAGCUGACUUGCAAAGUAUGAUCUAUUACAGUUUAAGAAUAUAGAUAUAGAUAUCCAGAACCGGUGAGGUUUUUAUACUUCCCACCACAGCUAGACAAAAUAGGCGAAUUGAAACGAUUCGAAGGAAAACAAAGGUGAGAGGCAAAGAAAUGAGGGGGAAGAGCAAACAGAGGAACAUGCACAAAGGAAAUGCCAUAUCAAGAUAGACCCUUGGCUAGAAUAUGAUAGGCGAUAUCAAUGGAGCUCAUGGGCCGGAAUCAAAUAUGCUAAGCAAACAAUGAUCAAACAAGGGGAACCGAAGCAAACGAGGAAGCAAUCAAGACGGAAAAAAUAUGGAAC
rnacentral:sRNA from 1 species